rnacentral:rRNA from 1 species
CCCUUAGAUGUCCUGGGCCGCACGCGCGCUACACUGAUGCAUUCAACGAGCUUAUAACCUUGGCCGAGAGGCCUGGGCAAUCUUGUUAACGUGCAUCGCGAUAGGGAUAGAUUAUUGAAAUUAUUAAUCUUGAACGAGGAAUUCCUAGUAAACGCAGAUCAUCAAUCUGCAUUGAUUACGUCCCUGCCCUUUGUACACACCGCCCGUCGCACCUACCGAUUGGAUGGUCCGGUGAAGCCUCGGGAUUGUGGUUCUUGCCGCUUUAUUGUGGCGUGACCGCGAGAACUUGUCUAAACCUUAUCAUCUAGAGGAAGGUGAAGUCGUAACA